AAGUCGUAACAAGGUUUCCGUAGGUGAACCUGCGGAAGGAUCAUUAUUGAAAAAAACAAUGGGAGGAGGUUGUUGCUGGUCCUCAAGGGGACAAUCUGUGCACGCCUUCUUUCGUCCUCUCUUCCACACCUGUGCACCUUUUGUAGGUCGAGAAAUCGGCCUACGUCUUUUUUUUCAUUCACACCUUAUUUUGAAUGUAUCUGUGCUUUGAAAUACAAGCAAAUCAUUAUACAACUUUCAACAACGGAUCUCUUGGCUCUC
rnacentral:misc_RNA from 1 species